rnacentral:rRNA from 1 species
GAAAGAAAGAUUAAUACCCGAUGGCAUAGUUCUUCCGCAUGGUGGAACUAUUAAAGAAUUUCGGUCAUCGAUGGGGAUGCGUUCCAUUAGGUUGUUGGCGGGGUAACGGCCCACCAAGCCUUCGAUGGAUAGGGGUUCUGAGAGGAAGGUCCCCCACAUUGGAACUGAGACACGGUCCAAACUCCUACGGGAGGCAGCAGUGAGGAAUAUUGGUCAAUGGACGAGAGUCUGAACCAGCCAAGUAGCGUGAAGGAUGACUGCCCUAUGGGUUGUAAACUUCUUUUAUACGGGAAUAAAGUGAGGCACGUGUGCCUUUUUGUAUGUACCGUAUGAAUAAGGAUCGGCUAACUCCGUGCCAGCAGCCGCGGUAAUACGGAGGAUCCGAGCGUUAUCCGGAUUUAUUGGGUUUAAAGGGAGCGUAGGCGGACGCUUAAGUCAGUUGUGAAAGUUUGCGGCUCAACCGUAAAAUUGCAGUUGAUACUGGGUGUCUUGAGUACAGUAGAGGCAGGCGGAAUUCGUGGUGUAGCGGUGAAAUGCUUAGAUAUCACGAAGAACUCCGAUUGCGAAGGCAGCUUGCUGGACUGUAACUGACGCUGAUGCUCGAAAGUGUGGGUAUCAAACAGGAUUAGAUACCCUGGUAGUCCACACAG